rnacentral:rRNA from 1 species
CAUUAAAGAGUUCUAUAACUCCCAAACCCAUGUGAACAUACCUAACGUUGCCUCGGCAGGUCGCACCUACCUUGUAGCACCCUACCCUGUAGGGCCUACCCGGGAGGUGCGGGUAAGCCUGCCGGCGGCCCACCAAACUCUGUUUGAUAUUGAAUUCUGAACCUAUAACUAAAUAAGUUAAAACUUUCAACAACGGAUCUCUUGGUUCUGGCAUCGAUGAAGAACGCAGCGAAAUGCGAUAAGUAAUGUGAAUUGCAGAAUUCAGUGAAUCAUCGAAUCUUUGAACGCAUAUUGCGCCCAUUAGUAUUCUAGUGGGCAGGACCGUUCGAGCGUCAUUUCAACCCUUAAGCCUUCGUUGCUUAGUGUUGGGAGCCUACGGCAACGUAGCUCCUCAAAGUUAGUGGCGGAGUUGGUUCACACUCUAGACGUAGUAAUUUUUUAUCUCGCCUAUUAGUUGGACUAAUCCCCUGCCGUAAAACCCCCAAUCUAUAUCAAGGUUGACCUCGAAUCGGUUCAGACAAACUCGCUAAAUUGAAGCAUCUUAGUCAGCGAAGGAAAAGAAACCAACAGGGAUUGCCCUAGUAACGGCGAGUGAAGCGGCAACAG